rnacentral:rRNA from 1 species
AACGAACGCUGGCGGCAUGCCUAACACAUGCCAGUCGAACGAGACCUUCGGGUCUAGUGGCGCACGGGUGGGUAACGCGUGGGAACCUGCCCUUAGGUUCGGAAUAACUCCCCGAAAGGGGUGCUAAUACCGGAUAAUGUCUUCGGACCAAAGAUUUAUCGCCUUUGGAUGGGCCCGCGUUGGAUUAGCUAGUUGGUAGGGUAAAAGCCUACCAAGGCGACGAUCCAUAGCUGGUCUGAGAGGAUGAUCAGCCACACUGGGACUGAGACACGGCCCAGACUCCGACGGGAGGCAGCAGUGGGGAAUAUUGGACAAUGGGCGAAAGCCUGAUCCAGCAAUGCCGCGUGAGUGAUGAAGGCCUUAGGGUUGUAAAGCUCUUUUACCCGGGAUGAUAAUGACAGUACCGGGAGAAUAAGCUCCGGCUAACUCCGUG